AAAUGGCUGCACCUGUGGUCUGAAUCAGAUGUUCACAAUCAGGUAAUUAGUGCUUUCGUACAUAGUGUGGUCCCUGGGGUUGAGGACUGUGAGUUGGUUUUAGACUGGUUAGUGGUCUUAUUGUUGAGAAGUCUUACAGCUAAUGUUCUAAAGGACCUCUUGGAUUGACACCUUGCUUAACUGAGUGGUUGUGUUUUACUGAAUUUUUCCGUUGCUGAAGAAUCCAUCAGAGCCUUUGAACCCUGAAGCAAGGACUUUCAGUGGCUUCAUGUCUGCAUCAACCUGUGUCAUACCCAGAUGAAUUCCACAAUGAAGUCAUUUCUGAUGCAGACCUUCCAUGUUUGUUCCCUGUCUACAGACCACGAGCUCUCUCAGGUUCAAGGAAGCAAGACUCACGAUCCUGCUUACAGAAUGUGCCUGUUUUGCAGUCAUGGAGGCACCCGGCCAGAUGAGGUUCAAGCUGGUCUGCAUUGAUUUGAACUUAAGGUAGUGUUGGAACUGCUGUAUUACCUGGAAGAACUCUGGAUUCCGGUUAAGUUCAUUUUGAUCCCGGUCAUAUCGGCUGCUUAAAGUGUACUUACACACAGCUUGAGCCUGUCUGGAUGCUGUUCUUCCUCUUCAGUCAUUUCUCUCUUCUGCCCUGAUUUGUAUUCCUGCCCUCCAGCGUAACGUUAUUCCGAAACCUCUCAUUCUCCUGUGCAGGGGAAGUAAAUUGUAUGUCCCAAACAGGAAAGAUUUUGGCCCAGGAGAUUUGAAGAGAAAGGGAUGCUCAGCUGGUAGGUUUCUGAGAGCUGAUGACUUAGCAGAGUUUCUGAAAGAACUGCUACCAGGCUGAACUUGAAUGUUGUGGGGUUUGUGUCACUGUCCUUGUUUCAAGCUCUCCUUCAAUCCUCACUUUGACUUUAGUUGCAUUUGUGGAUGUAUUUUCCGCUGUUAAGACUGCAAUCAACUGAUUGAAAUCCAUAAAUAAUAACCAAGUUUCAAUUUAAGAUGCAGUAACAGGAUGCUAUUGGGAUAACUUUUAUGUACGUGAGAAGCUUUUUAUAGCUCACUCCCCCCGGAGACCAAUCUUGGCCAGCCCCUGGCAGUGGGAAGGCCCUGGCUCUACCGCCAGCUUCUUGCAGGCCAAUCCCACACUGCACCAGCAGCAGGGAUGCUCACACAGCCAUCUGUGGCAGUGCUGCACCACGAGGCCUGCUGUGGUGCUCGGCUGAGCUUUAGGGGUCACAGGCAAGGUGGCAUUAAAAUAACUGCGAGAAACAGAAAAAGCAAGACAGACUAACAUGAAAAAACACAUUUUAUUGCACUUAAGUUAUAAGAAAAUAAAAUUUCUAAGUGAAUCAAACCAUAGACACAGUCCCUUUAAACGUUGUUUUCCUCCAUCUUGUCAGG